AUAACACAUUCAAGUCGAACGAAGCAUUUGAAGCGGAGACUUCGGUCAAAGUUUCUUAUGACUUAGUGGCGGACGGGUGAGUAACGCGUGAGCAACCUGCCUUCGUAUGGGGGACAACAGCUGGAAACGGCUGCUAAUACCGCAUAACAUACAUCUACCGCAUGGUUAAUGUAUCAAAGAUUUAUCGUACGAAGAUGGGCUCGCGUCUGAUUAGGUAGUUGGUGAGGUAACGGCCCACCAAGCCGACGAUCAGUAGCCGGACUGAGAGGUUGAACGGCCACAUUGGAACUGAGAUACGGUCCAGACUCCUACGGGAGGCAGCAGUGGGGAAUAUUGGGCAAUGGGGGAAACCCUGACCCAGCGACGCCGCGUGAAGGAAGAAGGCCUUCGGGUUGUAAACUUCUUUUAUUAGGGACGAUAGUGACGGUACCUAAUGAAUAAGCCACGGCUAACUACGUGCCAGCAGCCGCGGUAAAAC
rnacentral:rRNA from 1 species